rnacentral:rRNA from 1 species
CCCGACUGCUAUCAGAGUGGGACUAAGCCAUGCGAGUCAACAUAGCAAUAUGUGGCAUACGGCUCAGUAACACGUAGUCAACAUGCCCAGGGGACGUGGAUAACCUCGGGAAACUGAGGAUAAACCGCGAUAGGUCAUCACUUCUGGAAUGGGUAAUGACUUAAAUCUACAUGGCCCCUGGAUUGGACUGCGGCCGAUCAGGCUGUUGGUGAGGUAAUGGCCCACCAAACCUGUAACCGGUACGGGCUCUGA